GGUUUUAUUGUUGGUGAUACCCGGUGUAGUGGCAUUUAUUUGUUGGAGACGUAAAGGAGGAAGAUGUGGAGAGAACGUGAUUACUGAAGGACAUCCAGACUGUGAAGUAAAGCAGAAGGAUCAGACUGAACCUGAUGUUACUUACUCUACUGUAAGCCACGUGAACACAGCCGGAGCAGCACGGGUCCAGAUCAACGCUGGAGACAAAACUGAAUAUGCCAGCGUUAUAACAAACUAAUCCACAGUAAAUAUACAUAGAUACACUCUCAGAUAUUAUAUAAUAAUAAUAAUGAAAACAUUUAUUAAAUACACACCAUGGUAAGCAUGUUUUUCCCCAAAUUGUGUUUUUCAUGUUUUUCUUUGUUUUUUUCAAGUAAAUAGCAGAUUCAGAUAUAUGCAUGCAUGGGGGAAAGGGGGCGGGGUUUCCAGAGUAUUGCAUUACAUUUAUCUAUGUUAGCUAAGGGUAUUGUUCCUCAUUUACUUUGUGUGCUAAUCAUUAACAAUUGCUGAUGGAUAAUCUUGCAGAAGUAUUUAGAGCGUACGCAUCAUUUUAAAUCUUAUGUGUAUCAUUCUUAUAUCAGAAUAAGAAAUGAAUGUAGAAGGCUUUUAUCAUCAUCCUGUUUUGUGUAAGAAGACUCCUAUAUCUGUUCUUGUUUGUGACUUUUAAAGUCUGCUGAGUUUGGGUAAAAAUAAAAGAAUGAGAAUCGAUGCAUCCGACUGGAAUGAAUGUGUAUUUCUAACCUAGCUUUUGUGAAUGUUUCCUAACACUCCUUGCAAUUAUCAUUACUGAAUUCACUUUUUCAGGACUCACACAGUUAGCAAUCUGAGUGGAUGUAGCCGUGGAUCAGUUUUCAUUACACUUACACAGACUUGUGGCACU